AGGAUUGGAGGACUCUAAAUUAAUAUCUAAGGGGAAUUUUCCAUUAGGAUCUGUGAGAAUAUCUGAGAAUAUCUAAGGGGCUUUUAUAUCAUUCUAAAUUAAUUAAAUAAUAAUAAUAAUCGCUUUGUUUAAAAAGUAACUAUAUUUUGGAGCUUUCCUUUUCAUUUAACCUAGAGUAAGCUAGGAAAAAGGCAAUUCUUGAACAUGGGGUGAGACAUUCUCACUAAUUUGUAAAUAAAACCAAUUUGUUAUUUAGAAUGAUUUAUUUCUGGAGAAACCUUUAUUAUUUAGCAGACAUCACUUGCUUAUAUUCAUGAAGAUGAUGAGCGAUCGGCAAAGGCAAUCUGUAAUCUGCUGGCAUCACGGCACAACAUCGACAUCGCUCUAAUUACAGUCAGAAGACAGUUGAAGAAACUUGCGUGGACUUGGAAAGGCUCGGUAAAAAUGUUUUUAUUUAUAUAUUUUUUUUAAUUAUCAGAACAUUAACCAUGUGUGUUCGCUUGUUUUGUACUGUUCUGUAGUUUCAACCCAAUGAUUCGUUUGACAAACAAAGAACUUUGCGUCCUGCAGGCCCAGGCAUGGAUCAAAGCUGGCGAGACAUUCAAUAAUGUCAUCUUCACAGACGAAUCAACCGUGGUCCUUGAACAAAAGGAAGAAGAUCAAGCAAGCCGAGUCCCAAGCAUCCGCUCAAACUCCAUGUGUGGGGGGCAAUUUCUCGCCAAGCACCAGGCCCAUAUUGGAUUUUUGAUGAUAUCAUGGCUCGAGAUUUCUUAGAGUAACAUGACGGUCAGAGAGGUGUUUCUGGGUACACAGUUUCUUUCAAGACAAUGACCCAAAACACACUGCCGCCCGGGUUUGCAUUGCAAAUAAGGCCAUAAACUGGGUCAAGACGCCAGCAGAGUCUCCUGAUUUAAACCCGAUCGAACUUGUUUGGCAUCAACUGAAAACACACAACUCUGCCAAGCCGACAGGCAAAGAUGAACUGGUCAAGGCCAUCAAGAUGUUUUGGCUAGAGAAAUUGACGAUGCAACAAUGUAACAAAUACAUUGAUCAUCUCAACAAGGUUUUACCUGUGGUCGUGGAGCUGGGUGGAAGUGUGACUAAAAUGUGGUUAAUAUAAACAUCCGCAUUUGAAUGUCUUUUUUCUCGUUAUUUUAUUAACAAAAGCAUAAAGAUGUUGAUGAACAAAUACUGUACUGCUGUUUUGAGUUAGAAAGGUAACACUUUAGAGUACUUAAGCAUGGAAUACAUUGCAAGUUGAGGCAUUUUCACAACAGUAGCCGGGUUAUAAAACGUCUAUUGUCCUGCUAAUAGGAAACAUUUGCAUGAUGGGCUACACCUGCUCAUGUGUGAUGUCUUCACUAUUAUUCUACAAUGUAGAAAAUAGUAAAAAUAUAGAAAAAUCCUGGAAUGAGUAGGCAUGUCCAAACUUUUGACUGGUACUUCCUUAAUUAAUUAGAUUAAUAUUAUGGUGUUUCUAUUCCAUGAAAACAAAAAACCUUCUGGGUUUCUGUAAGGAUGGAACGGAAAAUAUGGCGCUGUACAACGUGACAUUGGCAGUACAGUACUGGGCUACUUAGCUAAAGAAUUCCUGUGUCGUGCGAACGGGAGACCGGUUGCAAUUGUAAGUAGGCCUAAUAAAAAACAUCCUACUUCUAUUUGGCUGUUAAGCCUCAUAGCUUACCUCAGCCAGUUAAGUUAUUUUAUAUAGGUCUCCUAAGAAAUAUACUCCAAUUAAGCAAAUAGACUCCAAUUAAGCCCUCUUGUUGUUUGUAAAGUAAAAUUAAAAUGAAGAUUAUUGUUGAAAUGAA